rnacentral:rRNA from 1 species
AACGAACGCUGGCGGCAGGCCUAACACAUGCAAGUCGAGCGCGCCUUUCGGGUGAGCGGCGGACGGGUUAGUAACGCGUGGGAAUAUGCCCUUUGGUACGGAUAGCCUCUGGAAACGAGAGUAAUACCGUAUGAGCCCUUCGGGGGAAAGAUUUAUCGCCAAAGGAUUAGCCCGCGUUAGAUUAGGUAGUUGUGGGGUAAUGGCCUACCAAGCCUACGAUCUAUAGCUGGUUUUAGAGGAUGAUCAGCAACACUGGGACUGAGACACGGCCCAGACUCCUACGGGAGGCAGCAGUGGGGAAUCUUGGACAAUGGGGGCAACCCUGAUCCAGCCAUGCCGCGUGAGUGAUGAAGGCCUUAAGGGUCGUAAAGCUCUUUCGCCUGUGAAGAUAAUGACGUAGCAGGUAAAAACCCCGGCUAACUCCGUG